UGACUGUCUACUUGGUUCUUCAUGGCUAGAUUCUGAGUCCAGGUGAUCAUGGAUGGAUACAACCUUAGAGAUAAUGAAGUCUAUUGCACAGAAAGAAACUGGAAUCAGGCUGUUUAUUGACUGCAGAGAAGUAGCGUCUCUUGAAUGGUUAAUGGCAAUUGUUAAUUAGAUUGCUUUUCCUACACUGCCCUGUGUGGUGGUGGAUGGCAUACGUGGUAAUCUGAGUGUGGUAAGCAUGAAAAGCACAGAAUGUGUGAAAGCAGCAACAAACUUCACAUCCAUCAAAUUCUUAACAUGAACCAGGUUCUUUGCUUACAUUCGCAUAGGCAUAUCGGUCUGGUUUUACUUGUCAGGAGGGACUGAAGAAAGCACAGGACGUAAGUUCCUCCAAGAGCAUUCUUGGAGCAGCAUCUCAUCGCUGUCCUUGGGUGUAGCCUCCCUUUUGUGAGGUUCACUCCCUCAGCUGGAGGAUGAACCACAGUGCUGCUGCAGACCUAGCUGAUGUCACAGUUGUUCAAAAGGUUCCUCUUGAAGAAUGAAAUCCUUGGGCUGCCAUUAGGAACUGCAUGCAGUUAAGCCGUAUAACCUCUCUGAUUUUUAGUUUCUCCAUCUAUUUUAUAAAAUAAAACAUUGAAC
rnacentral:lncRNA from 1 species